CGCAAGCCUGACGGAGCAAGACCGCGUGGGGGAGGAAGGCUCUUGGGUUGUAAACCCCUUUUCUCAGGGAGGAACAAAUGACGGUACCUGAGGAAUCAGCCUCGGCUAACUCCGUGCCAGCAGCCGCGGUAAUACGGAGGAGGCAAGCGUUAUCCGGAAUUAUUGGGCGUAAAGCGUCCGCAGGUGGCGAUUCAAGUCUGCUGUCAAAGCACGGGGCUUAACUCCGUAAAGGCAGUGGAAACUGAAUAGCUAGAGUGCCGUAGGGGUAGAGGGAAUUCCCGGUGUAGCGGUGAAAUGCGUAGAGAUCGGGAAGAACAUCGGUGGCGAAAGCGCUCUACUGGACCGCAACUGACACUGAGGGACGAAAGCUAGGGGAGCG
rnacentral:rRNA from 1 species